rnacentral:tRNA from 1 species
UAUUAUAUAAGGGUGUGAGAUGCACAUUAGUUUUUGAUAUUAAAGGCGAUAGUUUGAUUCUAUCUUAUAUAA